UGCAGGUGAAGCAGCUCGAGGAUGCGGUGCAGGAGCUCGUGGCCUCGUACGAGGACUGCGCGUACCUCGCCGAGGCGGUGAAGAAUGUGCCCGGGGCGUACCAGCCGUCUGACCAGGUCGAGAAGGUCAAGGGGACUGAUUUCAGAAAGCUGAUCGUCGGGACACAAGGACCAGCUCAUACGGCAGUUCAAAGAGGCUGUUUGGGAGGUUCACCAUGCAGGUCAACCGAUGCCUGGUGACGAACAAGAGGAACUUGUUAUGACCAGCACCCAGAACAACAUCCAGACCUGACAACAUCCUAAAUAUAGUAUAUGCCCAUUGACUAUGAAGCCUAUAGUUGAGUUGGAAAAUCCUGUUCGCUGAGCAAGGAGCAGCAGCAAUUUCAGAUUCUUUGAGAAAAUUUCAGAGCAAGGAGCAGCAGCAGCAACCUGUAACUUCUUCAGAGAAGAACUCGAAGGCAGGGA